ACUCUGCAAUUUUCGUAAAGUUUAUAAUCUUGAGAAGCUACCUUGGUCAAAUAGGUUCUCACAUGUUCUGAAGCUCCUAUAUAAGUAUUUCCAAAUGUCCAAGGGUUUGUGCGUUCUGAUCUGUAUCACAAAUUUUUAUAAGAGUUUAUUCGUUUAUAGUUCAAUCUCUGAACUGCUGAUACAUUUUAUUGCUUGGUUGCAGAUUUUGUUACCAAUAUAAGAAGUUUGUUGAAUUAUCUAACUUCUAACGUGCAAACAGACCGGGUGAUUUUGAGUGCAAGGAAUACAACAUCACUAAUUUUGGCUGGAAAAUACAAUUUUGAGUUGUUUGGAUCAAUCAUGAAAAUAAGGGGAAAAGGUAAACCAUACUGAGACAGGGUUGUUUCAUAAAUCAUCCCUCACAUGCGAUGAAAAUGGGCUAAGAGCAGGAAAAGUAACAUUCCUAUUAUACCCUUCUUCUUCUCCAUCUUUGCAACCGAUAUGGGGAGAAAUUUGGAGGUGACAGUGGAAAUCUGUUCAUCUUCUCCGGCAUGCUCAACCAUGUCAGCAGUGGUGGUGGUGGCAGUGUAGAGCAUGGCGGUGAAGGCGGUGGUGAUGGGGGCAGUGGAGGGUGGCGGUUGAUUAAAAGUAGCCUUAUACAUCACAACUCUAUCACGCUUGAUCCAUUAUUUAUUGGGUGGAUUGAAUAAUCCAUAAUUUUAAUGUAUAAGAGUGAUUGAUUGAUAAACUUACACAAUACAAUGUUUGCACCAAACAAUGUAUAAAUCUAUAAUGUAUUGUAUAAGCCUA